GACCCCUUAGCUCAGUGGUAGAGUGUGUGAUUCCAGUUACUUGGAGCUUCCACAAAGUCAUCCGUUCAAAUCGGGUAGGGGUCA